rnacentral:rRNA from 1 species
AUUGAACGCUGGCGGCAGGCCUAACACAUGCAAGUCGAGCGGAUGAAGGGAGCUUGCUCCUGGAUUCAGCGGCGGACGGGUGAGUAAUGCCUAGGAAUCUGCCUGGUAGUGGGGGAUAACGUCCGGAAACGGGCGCUAAUACCGCAUACGUCCUGAGGGAGAAAGUGGGGGAUCUUCGGACCUCACGCUAUCAGAUGAGCCUAGGUCGGAUUAGCUAGUUGAUGGGGUAAAGGCCUACCAAGGCGACGAUCCGUAACUGGUCUGAGAGGAUGAUCAGUCACACUGGAACUGAGACACGGUCCAGACUCCUACGGGAGGCAGCAGUGGGGAAUAUUGGACAAUGGGCGAAAGCCUGAUCCAGCCAUGCCGCGUGUGUGAAGAAGGUCUUCGGAUUGUAAAGCACUUUAAGUUGGGAGGAAGGGCAGUAAGUUAAUACCUUGCUGUUUUGACGUUACCAGCAGAAUAAGCACCGGCUAACUUCGUG